UUUUGUGGUUGUGUCCACGUGGAGAGACGAUCAUGUGCAAACCAGUCUGUUCGUGCGCUCUUGAAUCGGUUUAAACUAUUUCCUUUUAUAAUACGUAUGAUUAUGUUGAAAACCAGAAGGAAAGUGCACGUGUGCCAUCAUGUCACAUGCUGACAAACCAUGAGGGCCAGGAAAAAAAUCAUAUAUGCCAUAAAUUUGAUUAAUCCACGGGAAAUGCAGUAAAUGGCUACAUUAACAUGGACAGGACUACGUGACACUUGAUUCUCCAAGGAUUGAUUUCUUCCUAUAUGAGGUAAAUGAACCCUCAUUAAAGGACUAGUGUUGUGUAAGGUGAGUUCUGCUAACUUGGAGUCAAAACCACUUGAUUGUGUCAUGACUUUAUUUGUUUUGUAAAGAUUUGUGUGGUAAACCUGGAUUCAAUAAGGGAAUUGUUUAUAUAACGUUUUACAAAGUAUAUUAAGUGUGUAAAAGGAAAGUAUGUAUGUGCAUGUUGUUUUGUGUCUUUUUUUCACCCCAGAUGUUGUUUCUGUAUGUG